rnacentral:lncRNA from 1 species
AAACCUAAUUCUUCUAAAAAUUUUGAUUUGAUCAAAUCCAUAGCCUUGAACCUAACCUAAAUUUAUUUGAAUUUAAUUGGACUCUUAGUUAUGAGCCCAAGAGGAUUGGAUAAUGUCAAUGAGUUGGCAUAAAUUAUCCUAAAAUUAUCUCUUCAUUAUCUCCGAAUUAUCUCUAAGUGUGCAUGAGGAAUAGAUGAAAAAAUGGGAGGUGCCUGCUUCUCUUUUUGGCAAGACUAGGGGACACCAACCACUUGGAUAUGGCAAGAGGGGCCCACCCCUUCUUGUGGAUUUGCAUGGAGGAG